GCCCUUAUGGCGCAGUGGUAACGCGUCGCACUUGUAAUGCGAAGAUCUUCAGUUCAAUUCUGAAUGGGGGCA
rnacentral:tRNA from 1 species